rnacentral:rRNA from 1 species
GAUGAACGCUGGCGGCGUGCCUAAUACAUGCAAGUCGAGCGAACAGACGAGGAGCUUGCUCCUCUGACGUUAGCGGCGGACGGGUGAGUAACACGUGGAUAACCUACCUAUAAGACUGGGAUAACUUCGGGAAACCGGAGCUAAUACCGGAUAACAUGUUGAACCGCAUGGUUCAACAGUGAAAGACGGUCUUGCUGUCACUUAUAGAUGGAUCCGCGCCGCAUUAGCUAGUUGGUAAGGUAACGGCUUACCAAGGCAACGAUGCGUAGCCGACCUGAGAGGGUGAUCGGCCACACUGGAACUUAGACACGGUCCAGACUCCUACGGGAGGCAGCAGUAGGGAAUCUUCCGCAAUGGGCGAAAGCCUGACGGAGCAACGCCGCGUGAAUGAAGAAGGUCUUCGGAUCGUAAAACUCUGUUAUUAGGGAAGAACAAAUGUGUAAGUAACUAUGCACGUCUUGACGGUACCUAAUCAGAAAGCCACGGCUAACUACGUG